GAUGAACGCUGGCGGCGUGCCUAAUACAUGCAAGUCGAACGCACAGCGAAAGGUGCUUGCACCUUUCAAGUGAGUGGCGAACGGGUGAGUAACACGUGGAUAACCUACCUCAAGGUUGGGGAUAACAUUUGGAAACAGAUGCUAAUACCGAAUAAAACUUAGUAUCGCAUGAUACCAGGUUAAAAAGGCGCUACGGCGUCACCUAGAGAUGGAUCCGCGGUGCAUUAGUUAGUUGGUGGGUAAAGGCUUACCAAGACAAUGAUGCAUAGCCGAGUUGAGAGACUGAUCGGCCACAUUGGGACUGAGACACGGCCCUAAACUCCUACGGGAGGCUGCAGUAGGGAAUCUUCCACAAUGGGCGAAAGCCUGAUGGAGCAACGCCGCGUGUGUGAUGAAAGGCUUUCGGUCGUAAAGCACUGUUGUAUGGGAAGAACAGCUAGAGUAAGGGAAUGACUUAGUUUGACGGUACCAUACCAGAAAGGGAACGGCUAAAUAACGUGCCAGCAGCCG
rnacentral:rRNA from 1 species